rnacentral:rRNA from 1 species
ACGGGGCCCGCACAAGCGGUGGAGUAUGUGGUUUAAUUCGAUGCAACGCGAAGAACCUUACCUGGUCUUGACAUCCCGGAGACCCUUAGGAAACUAGGGGUGCUUCCAUCUGGAAGAAUCUGGAGACAGGUGCUGCAUGGCUGUCGUCAGCUCGUGUCGUGAGAUGUUGGGUUAAGUCCCGCAACGAGCGCAACCCUUGCCUUUAGUUGCCAGCAGUUCGGCUGGGCACUCUAAAGGGACUGCCGGUGUUAAACCGGAGGAAGGUGGGGAUGACGUCAAGUCCUCAUGGCCUUUAUGACCAGGGCUACACACGUACUACAAUGGCCGAUACAAAGGGCAACGACACUGCGAGGUGAAGCCAAUCCCGUAAAAUCGGUCUCAGUCCGGAUUGGAGUCUGCAACUCGACUCCAUGAAGUUGGAAUCGCUAGUAAUCGUGGAUCAGCAUGCCACGGUGAAUACGUUCCCGGGCCUU